CCUACGGGGGGCAGCAGUAGGGAAUCUUCCACAAUGGGCGAAAGCCUGAUGGAGCAACGCCGCGUGGGUGAAGAAGGUCUUCGGAUCGUAAAACCCUGUUGUUAGAGAAGAAAGUGCGUGAGAGUAACUGUUCACGUUUCGACGGUAUCCAACCAGAAAGCCACGGCUAACUACGUGCCAGCAGCCGCGGUAAUACGUAGGUUGCAAGCGUUAUCCGGAUUGAUUGGGCGUAAAGGGUACGCAGGCGGUCUUUUAAGUCUGAUGUGAAAGCCUUCGGCUUAACCGGAGAAGUGCAUUGGAAACUGGGAGACUUGAGAGCAGAAGAGGAGAGUGGAACUCCAUGUGUAGCGGGGAAAUGCGUAGAUAUAUGGAAGAACACCAGUGGCGAAGGCGGCUGUCUGGUCUGUAACUGACGCUGAGGUUCGAAAGCGUGGGUAGCAAACAGGAUUAGAUACCCGGGUAGUC
rnacentral:rRNA from 1 species